GCGCCCGACGUUCGCGCCUUCCCUCUUGCUACCUCAAACCGGAAUCACCCGGUGCAUCCACCGCCCACCGAUCGAUGGGUGACGCCCCCUCCCUCCCUCCCAUGGAAAUUCCGGGGACCAAUCAUAUCGCCCGUUCCCAUCGUUCCUCGGUUCAAAUCUAUAGCGCCGAAGGAUGGCGAACCAGGGUGAGAGAUCGGGCGCCAUGGACGGUCUCGUAAAUGGCUUGUCUGGCGCCUCGCACGGACACGGCGGGGCUGGGGACGCCGCGCCUAGGGCGGUCAACCGUGCCGGUGCCGCUCCAGGGGAAGGGGGCCGGCAGGAGAUAGCCCGGCCGACGUGGGCCGAGGUAGUAUCCGAGGAGAAGCAAGAGGAGAGGCCGGAGAGGGCAGAAGAUGGUAGGAGGCAGCACGGGCAUUGCCCGCCCACGUCCACUCAACGGCGCAAUCUGGGUGAGACGGGUGAAACAAAGGGCGGAGGCUGGCAGGACCGCAGGCCGCAUCAGCAGACCUUGAAAUGUAAAAGAUCACAACAGAACUCCGAGGAAUGGAACCGAUACAAAAGACCACCUUCUGAACAAGAAUACUCGGAGGAUGUCAGUCAGCUUCGCCAUGGUCUAAAUGUAAAGCCUACCAGGGAGGAGCUCAAUCAUUUGUCAAAGGCAUGCUGUCGGCUAUGGGAGCUUGACCUGAACCGUCUCCUCCCUGGUAAAGACUAUAGAAUCGAAUGUGGCCAGGGGAAGAAGGUUUAUCAGAAGGGUGACAUGGCAUCUGAAAACUUAUUCAGCUGGCUGAAGGAUGACAUACUGCAUAGGCCUACAUACUCCCGCUUUUGUGCACUUCUUGACAACUACAACCCACGCCAAGGAUACAAGGAAUUAGUCACCCAGCAGGACAAGAAUGAAGAAGCUGCUUUUAUUGAGGAGAUUGCUAGAAGUGCACCAAUCAAAUACUUACACCAGUAUCUGGUGCUGAAGGGAAUCACGUCUCAGGACCAGAAGGACUUCAAGAAAAUGCUGGCAUCCCUGUGGUUUGAUUUGUAUGGAAGGGGUGGAUGCUCUGGUAGCUCUUCUGCCUUUGAGCAUGUCUUUGUAGGAGAGAUCAAGGGGCGGUGUCGAGGCGAGAAUGAGGUUACAGGCUUCCACAACUGGAUUCAGUUUUAUCUGGAAGAAUCCAAAGGUAAUGUGGAUUACCAAGGGUACAUAUUUCCAAGGACAUGCGGAGACCUGACUCUGAGAUGCAGCUGCUCACCAUUCAGUUUGAGUGGCAUGGCUUGCUGAAAUCUGUGUCCAGCACAUUGGUCGGUGUCAGUCCUGAGUUUGAGAUUGCACUCUACACGCUCUGCUUCUUUGCUGGAGAGGAAAAUAACCAUGUCCAUGUUGGUCCAUAUGCGCUGAACAUCAAGUGCUACAGGAUGGGGGUUAACAAGAUUGGAUCAGCUUUCCCAGUUGCAGAACAAUGAUGGUUUUGGUGGCCACAUGCUGAAGUUGGAUGGAGCAUGUAUGAGUAAGCCGACGUCCACUCUUGGAGGUUUCGUUUGGGCCCUACAGGUUUGGAUGUGGGAGCGUAUCCCUGUUGGCCGUAACGUCAUCCUUCCUUCGGAAGAACCUUGGAAGUACCCUUUUGACGGGGAUGAGGAGCGGUACCCCACUAUCGCACACACAUGGACUAAUGUCUAAUGGUCGAGUAUCGCAGCUAUGGGGCAGUACAAGGCAUACAUAAGAGAGCUUGACGUGCUAACUUAUGAACAUGUAAUUAUCCAAAUGCUUUAGCAUCUUUUCUGAUUUUUUUUUCGUGCAUGGGCGUGUGACUUGUUGUGAUAUAGGUCAAUUGGAGGCCGUACACGGUACUUU